ACUGUGCAUCUACUUUUAUGUUGGUGGGGAAGGGAAAUUUCUUGGGACUUUAUAAUAUUUUAAAAUUACAUGAGAAAAUCAUUAAGGAAUAUAUUUGGGUUUAUUGUCAAAUUGUUUUUUUAACCAUUUGUGGUCUCCCAUCUGUUUUAAAUAUAAAGUUACAAAAGUUGUACUCCUUUCCCUUUUCAAGCCCAUUUCUUUAGGGUAAAUAAAAGUUAGAGUAAAUUGAACAUCAGCCACCUGGAAAUACUCCUGAUUCUUAGUUCUGACUUUCUCCCUGUUGCUUAUCAGUUGCUUGUCAGGAUGGAAGACCUUUGCUCUUCGAAUGUGGGUCCGUGUAUUUCACUCGAUACCCUGUCAGUCCUCUUGGGUUAAAGCUAAUCUACAUCACUUUCCAUUUUCAGCCACCAACUAUAUCUGUAGCUGCAGUGACAUUUUUACACAAGGAAAGAUGUAUGCUGCCCAUCUGUCAUGUAAGGACGUAAUGUAGCUAAACCAUCUACCCUGUCUCUUACUACACGAAUUCAACUCAAAAGGGGAGAAUAAUUUCUUCAGCAUUCCUGCUCCAUAGAGAAGAAAUCUAACUCUGCAAGGGUCUGGAAGAGUCCCAGUUUCUGGUUGUUGCCUCUCUGUACCUGGUGGAACUGUCCCAUCUUCAAAACAGUGCUAAGGUAGUGAGGAAAAAGACUGGUCUAACAUGUUUGGUUGUGUGUUUGCUUUGUGCCUGACACUGUGCUACAGACUUUUAUACAGACUUGAGAUUGCAACUGUCAACACUGAGUUUAUAUGCUGGAACAUUGUUCUCUGGGAAAUCCAGCCAGUCCAGGGAAAAGAGACUGACAUGAGAGCUCACCAUAAAUGCAGAGUCAGAACAGCCUACACAUAAGAAGGCCUACCACUGACAGUUGCCCUUGCAUGCGCUAUGCCUUUAAAUUGCUCUUUUGUGCUCAACCUAAAUGUAAGGACACACAAGGAGCAUAAGGAGAACUGUCUGUAAUGUGAAUGACAGAGGCCAAAAAUCACUAGAGAAAAGAAACUUGUAGGAUAGAGACCAUCCAUAGUUUUGAAAACCUGAAACAAUAUCUAAUCUCUACAGAAAAUUAAAAGAACAUAUUGUGUCUAUGAAACUAGAAUAACAUGGUAAAAAAAAUGAAAAAUUAAAAAAAGAAUUCUUGAAAAUAAAAAUAUGACAAUAGGAAUAAAAACUCAAUAGAAGGCUAAGAGAUAAAAUUAGGUCUCCCAGAAAGUUUUCAAAAAUAGAAAA